GGAGGGGUGGCAGAGUGGUCGAUCGCGCUGGUCUUGAAAACCAGAGUCCGUGUAAGCGGACCGUGGGUUCGAAUCCCACCCCCUCCG
rnacentral:tRNA from 1 species